GUGCUUGCUUCGGCAGCACAUAUAAUAAAAUUGGAACGACAUACAGAAGAUUAGCGUGGCCCCUGCGCAAGGAUGACAUGCUAACUCAUGAAGCAUUCCGUAUUUUU
ensembl:snRNA U6 U6 spliceosomal RNA